rnacentral:lncRNA from 1 species
AAUACUUAAUUCUGCCUGAAUCACCCCUUCUUAGUGUUCAGAGAUCUCUCUUGGCGAAGAAUUAGAGGUGUAAGAUUAUAAAACAGUGUCGAGCCGGGUUCUCAGGCUUGACUAAGCAAACUCCAAAUGAGCAGAUCUCAAAAUAAUCCCCGAAUUCUCGACUUUGGGGCUGGAAACUGACAGAUGUUAUUACGAAUUCCAUUCGAUGCAGUGGAUAUUUAUGAACCAUCUACCGUCCCAUAAAUCCAAUAAACUGAUGAAGGAGCUCCGCUGCGCAGGGCUGUGGGAAGGGAAGAAAAGACUUUGGGGAUGUCAUGAAAUCCGUCUUCAAAUAUUUGAAGGAUUGACUCUGGAAAGGGGAAUCAGCCUGGACCUGUUUGGCCCCAGAGGGGAAAACCAGGAGCCUGGGGUUGGAGAGUCGUCAAAAUUCAGUGGCAAGACAAAAGUCAGGACAACUGGGGAUGGUCCAGGAUGCAGCGGAUGUCCAUGGCAUCUUUGAUGUCUGACCAAGCUCCAAGCACUCCACAAUAUCUGCUUCAGCCACCUGCAUGGCCUCUGGAACAAAUUGCUUUCAUCUGCCGGUUCUGCCAGGGGAAGUCCUUACAUGCUUGGCAUAGACAUCCCUGCUAAUUUACUGCUUGGAUUGUGGUCUAUCACUUUCCUUGAACCCAAUCUAUUAUUUAUUUAUUUAUUUUUGGAUAAAUUUAUUUAAUUAAUUUAUUUGGAAUAUUUUCCAUGGUUACAAGAUUCAUAUUCUUUCCUUCCCUUGCCCCUACCCCCUUCCCAUAGCCGAUGUACCCUUCCAAUGAGUUUUACAUGUCAUUGAUCCAGACCUAUUUCCAUAUUACUGAUAAUUUCACCAGGGUGAUCGUUUAGAGUCUGCAUCCCCAACCAUAUCCCUAUUGACCCACGUUAUCGAGCAGUUGUUUUUCUUCUGCUCCCACAGUUCUUCCUCUGAAUGUGGAGAGUGUUCUUUCUCAUAAGUCCCUCAGAACCUUGAACCUAAUUUAGCUUGUCUGUCAGAUGGUUUUGCCAGGACUCCAGCUUCUUGGAGCCACAGGUGAGAGUUGGCUGAAUGAAAGGAGGAGGGUGAGCAGCCCUGGAAAGGGCUUGGCAAGCUCCCACACCAAAGGGGCUAGUUCUCUC